AGACAGCGGGUCUGGACCAGCGCAGACACGCUGCUGGACCGGAUGCGCUGCCUACACCCAGCUCCUCGUCAGUCCGGACUAAUAAUCAGACCUUUCAAGCACUUCCUCACAGCGCCAGAAUUGUGUUGUUUGUGUCACUGAGGAGUGUGGAACGAGAGAGAGGGAGUGCAGAGACACAGGAGCAACAGGGGACUUUUUGGGAAGAAGACACGACACGGGAGUAAAGGGAGAGGACGGGGAUUUUUUGUCAUUUUCGCACUGUAAAUAAACGCACCGCUUGCAGUGAAGAGUCCAGCGUUCUGGGUCCUCCUUUCCCCCACAUCCCCACGGCUUGCCUUGGCAAACUGUGACAAUCCCAACAACCACAAACUCUGGGAAGUCUUGGACUUGAGAAGACGCAGUAAAGAAAUAUUUCAAAGAGUGGGUCACUGUAAGAAACAGUUUGUGUAUAAUUAUUUUACUUGAUAAGCUGUAGCGAUAAAAGGUUUUAACUCUUUAUGAAAAUGAAAAUGGUAUUUUGUGGCGAAAAUAAAAGUUUUGGUUACAGCCACUAAAUUACAAACAGACCCCCUGACUGAUGUCAAUUACAGCUGUUGGAUCGUUUAGAAAGACGGCAGGUUCACUUAUAAAAAGAUGUGCAAUGAGCAAUUUAAAAAAAUAGCUAAGUUCAAAAUAUAAACAUCAUUUCUCAUCUUCUAAUGCAAAAUGCUAAUUAUUGGGAAUUAGCAUGAAAUGCAGGAUUUGUUUGUUUCAUGCAUUUAUGUAUUCACCUCACACAUGAACAAUCCCCAGUUCAAGACCAGGAGGAGACACAAACCCAGA